ensembl:lncRNA
UCUCAUCUCCUUCCACCUGAGAGUUGCUUGAGGCUGAGACAUUGCUCACUGUAAUCUAGUAACCGAACUCAUGCCUUAACUGACUCCUUUUUUACAGGACCCCUUCUUCAAGACCCUGCAUGGCUUACCGCAAGAACAGUUAGUUUCUGACCUCUUAUUAAGGGAAUUCCAAGAGGCUGUGGAAACACCUCUUACUUAGCUACUGCUGAUUGGAAAUCUGGUACCCCCACAAAGUGCUCUGAGGUGCUCAGCAGGGGAAAAAAAUCCCUCUAAAAUCAAGAUCAACAACGACAGGAACCACGUGACCGUUUUUCAGUUAGCAAAGCAUUCUUUACAGAUGCCUGUCUGGUUGUUCUUGGAUGGCUUCAGGGCACAGACACUGUAUUUAUCUUUUGGAAGUUCUCCACCAGGUCCAAUUGUUUGAUCCCAGGAACAGGUGAGGCACAUCAUGCCUUCUGAAGGGUUUGACAUUUUAUUUGCCUGUAAUGUGGCAUGCUCAGGAACAUAUCUGGGUGAAGACUCUGUUUUUCACUGAGUCUAGAACCUUACAGGACUGCAGCAUUCUAUGUUUCUAAUGUAAAUUUGGCAGCGGUACCUAGUGCAAUAUCUGGC